GAUGAAGAACGUAGCGAAAUGCGAUAAGUAAUGUGAAUUGCAGAAUUCAGUGAAUCAUCGAAUCUUUGAACGCACAUUGCGCCCUCUGGUAUUCCGGGGGGCAUGCCUGUUCGAGCGUCAUUAUAACCACUCAAGCUCUCGCUUGGUAUUGGGGUUCGCGGUUUCGUGGCCCCUAAAAUCAGUGGCGGUGCCUGUCGGCUCUACGCGUAGUAAUACUUCUCGCGAUUGAGUUCGAUAGGUCUACUUGCCAGUAACCCCCAAUUUUUACAGGUUGACCUCGGAUCAGGUAGGGAUACCCGCUGAACUUAAGCAUAUCAAUAAGCGGAGGA
rnacentral:misc_RNA from 1 species